CUGCAGUUUUGUGUAACUGACGGGGAGCAAGGAACUCCAGGAGCAAGUCAAAUGGAAAUGUGCUCUCUUCUCUCCCCACUCCAGUCUGUUUGACACUGUGAUUAUGAACAUCUUCUGGACUCACUGUGAUGAUCCCUUUAAAAGACGCCCUACGGCUCCAUCUCUCUCCUCCAGAAGCAAAGACUUAAACUAAGGAUGGCAGAGAGAGAAGGGGAAGUGACAGGCCAUCGCAAAAUAACAUGAGCUGGAACUUGGGCAGCAGCUUCUCCUCAGCAAUAAUACCAGACAUCACUUCUCACCUUUUUACAUUUUUUUUUAAUUUUCAGAUGUUGGCUCACAACAUUUUAAUCUUUUUGUUUUUCUUGCUCGUCGUUGUCUAUAGUCUGAUAAUCUGAUAUCUACUGAGUACAGAUAAAUUUACUUCACAAUAUACAUACACCACCAAGAACCUGUUCAUGAAAACAGUAUCCAAUAUCGAAAUUUUUUUUAUAAACUAUAUUUACAGUGUUUAUGAAAUAGGAAGCAUUCACAUUUCUAUUAGUGAUAAAAUAGCCUCAAGAUACUAUGCUUUGUCCUUACAGUUUAAACACCCACACCGUGCACAGCACCUUGUGGUGUCAUGUCCCCAACUGUUAACUCACCACUAAAGCUGCGUACCUAACUGGUACCUGCCCAGUAACUGAGCUGUAAGCAUUAUCUGUGCACCCCUAAUAUGUAAAUCGCCAUUUGUUUUUUAAAACUGAGAGUAAGGGUCACACGUCAAGUUGUAUAUCUGACAAGUUCUGUUUACUUUUUGUCUUCUGUUUUUUUUAAUGAGGCUUUUUAGCGGUCUUCUGUGGACUCUUACAUUAUUUGUAUUUAAAAGUUAAAGCAAAAAACAAAGACAAAUGAAAAGGUGAUUGUGGAUUUAAGUCUGUUUUUAAGUUGUUCUUUUUCUGCCUUUUGAGAUGUCAGCAGUAUUUUAAUUGAAAUGAACCAAAAUCCCAUUUUAAAAUCAACCUGUGUGUAUAUAUAUACAGUAUAUCGGUUAAUACAGUAGUCAUUAUUUGAAGGUGGUUUUGGCAGCAACUCAAGGGAGGGUCAGACAAGGAAAUGAAUUUUUCUGCUGUAAGCCUCUUCGUCAUAUUUCCACCUCGUCAGCGGCGUGCUCGUUUCUUCAUGUCCUUCACUGACGCACAGUACGCAGGAACUCAGGUGCAAGUGAACGAGACUGAAUGAAUGAAAUGAACUAAGAUUGUAUUUUUCCAGCGGGUUCGAUUGCUCAAGCAGCAAAUGUCCGUAUUUAAAGCUAGAGCUGGCACUUUGUUAGAAGCAGUGCUAUACAGUGAAAUUUAUCUGAAACAAUGUCUACGUCCCAAGAAUGAAUGCCUUUUUUUUUUUUUAACAUCACCCUGUGUGAUUGUUCAGUAACUGAUGGUUCUCUGCUGAAAUGGAACGUGGAGACGCAGCUGUCUGUGAUCCAGAGCGGUAGUUACUACCUGUAUGACCAGGACCAUUGUGCCCAAUAGAUGUUCUUUAAUUGUUCAAACAGAGAAGGGAUCUCAAUAAAGCCAUAUUCAGUGGUGCACAUCAUCAUCAAUAGAAAUGUUCUUCUAAUGGUUGAAUUCAGCUUGUGCCUCCUGUAUCACAUCUUUACUUCCUGGUUGUUACUGUAGCUUAAGAAACUGACUAUAUCCCAGAGAGAAUACACAAUACUGGCAAAAGAUUUUAGUUCAGGAAAUAAAGCAGCAGAAUAGGAGACAAGACUGUUUUAGCUGAGCUGAGUGGAAACACAAACUGCCUGGGAAUACUGAUUUAAUAAAACUAUUUGCAAAAAA